UCUGUUCAAAGAAUAACAACU
rnacentral:piRNA from 1 species